ACUCUUGGUAACGGAUAUCUCGGCUCUCGCAUCGAUGAAGAACAUAGCGAAAUGCAAUACUUCGUAUGAAUUGCAGAAUCUCGUGAACCAUCGAGUCUUUGAGCGCAAGUUACGCCUUAAGCCAUUAGGCCAAGGGCACAUCUGCCUGGGUGUCAUGCAUCGUCACCCUCAUCUAACCCUUAGCUCUUGGGCCUUGAUUGAAUUAUGGGCGGAAAUUGGCCUCUCGUGCUCAUAGCUAGCGCGAUUGGCCUAAAUUUGAGUCCUUGAUGACAUAUCCAUCGCGAUAAUCAUUAGUAAUGCUAUAAGCACAGCCUCGUUCAAAGUUGUGCACGAUGGUUGAUCGAGAACCUCGAGCCCUUUCGGCAUCGCAAUGACGUUGCUUGCAUCACAACCUCUAGUUAGGCGAGAUUACCCACCGAGUUUAAGCAUAUCAAUAAGCGGUGGAAAAGAAACUUACUAGGAUUCCCAUAGUAACAGAAAGCGAAUCGGGAAAAGCCUAGCUUGAGAAUCAGGUGCCAUUGGCAUCCGAAUUGUAGCUUCAAGAAGCGUCCUCAAUAAUGGAUCGAGCUCAAGUCCCCUAGAAAGGGGCGUUGGAAAGGGUGAGAGCCCCGUCUGCUCGGAUCCUGUCGCACCACGAUACGCUGUCUAUAAGUCGAGUUGUUUGGGAAUGCAACCCUAAUCGGGCGAUAAAUUUCAUCUAAGGCUAAAUAUGAGUGAGAGACCGAUAGCGAACAAGUACCGUGAGGGAAAGAUGAAAUGAAAUUUGAAAAGAGAGUCAAAGUGUGCUUGAAAUUAUCGGGAGGAAAGCGGAUGGGGGCCGGUGAUGCGCCCCAGUCGGAUGUAAAACUACGAGAGUCGAUCCGUCGAUCAGUUUCGGGGAGUGAAUCAACACGAGUCGUGGCAACGACCCAAGCUCGAGCUCUUGAUAUGCUUGUGAAGAUGUCAUCCCCUCAAUUAUGGGAUCCAACACACGCCGUCUCGAUGUGCUUAUGCAUCUAUGUGCUUCUGGUAUCGACCUGCGGUCUCCCCAUUCGAUCUGUCUUGAAACACGGACCAAGGAGUCUGAUGUGUGGAAUCAACGAGUUAGAAAACCCGUAAGGCAUAAGGAAGGUGAUUGACGGGAUCCCUUGUGGGCGCACCACUGAUAGACCUUGAUUUUCUAGGUAGGGUUCGAGUGAGAGCAUUCCUGUUGAGACCCGAAUGAUGGUGAACUAUGCUUGAGCAGGGCAAAGCCAGAGGAAACUCUGGUAGAGGCCUGCAGUGAUACUAACGUGCAAAUCGUUCGUCUGACUUGGGUAUAGGAGCGAAAGAUUAAUCGAACCCUCUAGUAGCUAAUUCCCUCCGAAGUUUCCCUUAGGAUAACUAGAGCCCUUAGCGAGUUCUAUUGGGUAAAGCCAAUGAUUAAAGGCAUCGGGGGUGCAAUGCCUUCGACCUAUUCUCAAACUUUAAAUAGGUAAGACGACGCGACUGCUUCGUUGAGCCACACCACGAAAUCGGGAGCUCCCUCGAAUGCAUUCCCCGAGCAACAAAUAGUCGACUCAGAAUUGGUACGGACAAGGGGAAUCCAACUGUUUAAUUAAAACAAAGCAUUGUUUUGGUACCUGCGGACGCUCACUCAAUGUGAUUUUCGCCCAGUGCUCUGAAUGUCAAGUGAAGAAAUUCAACCAAGCGUGGGUAAAUAGCGAGUGUAACUAUGACUCUCUUAAGGUAGCCAAAUGCUUCGUCAUCUAAUUAAUGACGCGCAUGAAUGGAUUAACAAGAUUUUCAUUAUCCCUGUCUACUAUCCAGCGAAACUACAGCCAAGGGAACGGGCUUGGCAGAAUCAGCGGGGUAAGAAGACCCUGUUGAGCUUGACUCUAGUCCAACUUUUUGAAAUGACUUGAGAGGUGUAGGAUAAGUGGGAGCUCUCGGGUGAAAUUGAAAUACCACUACUUUUAACGUUAUUUUACAUAUUCCAUGAAUCAAAGGCGAGGAACGGCUCCUCUUUUUGGACCCAAGGUCGGCUUCAGUCUGUCGAUCCAGAUGGAAGACAUUGUCAGGUGGGGAGUUUGGCUGGGGCGACACAUCUGUUAAAAGAUAAUGUAGGUGUCCUAAGAUGAGCUCAACGAGAACAAAAAUCUCGUGUGGAAUAAAAGGGUAAAAGCUCGUUUGAUUUUGAUUUCCGGUACGAAUACAAACCAUGAAAGUGUGGCCUAUCGAUCCUUGAGACCUUCAGAAUUUGAAGCUAGAGGUGUCAGAAAAGUUACCACGGGGAUAACUGGCUUGUGGCAGCCAAGCGUUCAUAACAGCAUUACUUUUUGAUCCUUCGAUGUCGGUUCUUCCUAUCAUUGUGAAGCAGAAUUCACAAGUGUUGGAUUGUUCACCCACCAAUAGGGAAUGUGAGAUGGGUUUAGACCAUCAUGAGAUAGGUUAGUUUUACCCUACUGAUGGCCGCGUCGUAAUAAUAAUUCAACCUAGGACGAGAGGAACCAUUGAUUCAUAAAAUUGGUCAUCGCGCUUGGUUGAAAAGCCAGUGGCGCGAAGCUACCGUGCACUGGAUCAUAAAUGAACACCUCUAAGUCAAAAUCCGGGUUAGAAGUGAUGCACGCGCUCGUCGUCCAGUUACUGACUCGCAAUAGAGGCCUCUAGCCCCCAAUGGCACGUGUCCUAGGUGCAGCGACCAUGGUGGACAAAUCGUAGCUGCCUCCUUAGAGCGUAAUUCCCUCUAAGUGGCAGGUAGAAUCCUUUGCAGACGACUUAAAUAUGCGACGGGGUAUUGUACGUGGCAGAGUCGCCUAGCUGCCACGAUC
rnacentral:rRNA from 1 species